rnacentral:rRNA from 1 species
GAUGAACGCUAGCGGAGCGCCUAACACAUGCAAGUCGAAUGUGGAUUUAUCCACAUGGCAGACGGGCGAGUAACACGUGCUUAAUUUGCCUCGGAGCGAGGAAUAACCCGGGAAACCGGAAUAAUUCCUCAUACGAUCCUAGAAAUGAAAAUACUAGGAUGAAAGGUUUACCACUCUGAGAGAAGAGCGCGGUCUAUUAGGUAGUUGGUGAGGUAAUGGCUCACCAAGCCGAUGAUGGAUAGCUGGUCUGAGAGGAUGACCAGCCGCAAUGGAACUGAGACACGGUCCAUACCCCUACGGGGGGCAGCAGUGGGGAAUAUUGGACAAUGGAGGAAACUCUGAUCCAGCGACUCCGCGUGGAGGAUGACGCAUUACGGUGUGUAAACUCCUUUUUUGGAGGAAGACGACUGACGGUACUCCAAGAAUAAGCGACGGCUAACUACGUG